rnacentral:rRNA from 1 species
GUGCCAGCCGCCGCGGUAAUACAGAGGGGGCAAGCGUUAUUCGGAAUUAUUGGGCGUAAAGGGCGCGUAGGCGGUCCUUCAAGUCUCUCGUGAAAUCCCUCGGCUUAACUGAGGACGUGCGGGAGAUACUGCUGGGCUUGAGUCCGGAAGAGGGUGGUGGAAUUCCCAGUGUAGCGGUGAAAUGCGUAGAUAUUGGGAGGAACACCGGUGGCGAAGGCGGCCACCUGGGCCGGAACUGACGCUGAGGCGCGAAAGCGUGGGGAGCAAACGGGAUUAGAUACCCCUGUAGUCC